GAUGAACGCUGGCGGCGUGCCUAAUACAUGCAAGUCGAGCGAACGGACGAGAAGCUUGCUUCUCUGAUGUUAGCGGCGGACGGGUGAGUAACACGUGGAUAACCUACCUAUAAGACUGGGAUAACUUCGGGAAACCGGAGCUAAUACCGGAUAAUAUUUUGAACCGCAUGGUUCAAAAGUGAAAGACGGUCUUGCUGUCACUUAUAGAUGGAUCCGCGCUGCAUUAGCUAGUUGGUAAGGUAACGGCUUACCAAGGCAACGAUGCAUAGCCGACCGGAGAGGGUGAUCGGCCACCCUGGACCUGAGACACGGUCCAGACUCCUACGGGAGGCAGCAGUAGGGAAUCUUCCGCGAUGGGCGAAAGCCUGACGGAGCAACGCCGCGUGAGUGAUGAAGGUCUUCGGAUCGUAAAACUCUGUUAUUAGGGAAGAACAUAUGUGUAAGUAACUGUGCACAUCUUGACGGCACCUAAUCAGAAAGCCACGGCUAACUACGU
rnacentral:rRNA from 1 species